CACACACACACACACACACACACACACACACACACACACACACACACAAAGAUAAGGUACUGUGUACUAUGCAGACAAGAGGAAAGGCAAGGAUAGGACGAUGAUUUCUUGUAGUCCCAGGCUUAGUAGGCUGAGGAGGACUUCAAGUUUGGGCUACAAAGCAAGACUCUAGUGGGAGAGGAAAAGAUGAAAAAUCAACCCAGCAACUCUAACACCAGAAAGGAAUUUCAAAGAGAAAAAAAAAAAUAGAACAAACAUAAGGGAGAAAUUAGUGGUAGUAGUUUACUUUGUGUGAGACAUGGUGUCGCUCUGCAACCCAGGCAAGCCUGCACUGCGAUACCCACGAUUCCCCAGCCUCUGCCGCGAGUGCUGGAGUUACAGGCACACUGCUAACAAGUUUCACCAGACAGAAUAAAGAUCCUCAAGUUUUCCAUGAUAAAAUCCAAGGACAGAGAAGCAGAAUGGCUUCCAACUUCUUAUCACAGGGAAGCACACAGAGCACGGCAGGGCCCUUCCGGUUGGAGAAGAUGACCUCGGCCCACACUUUCAUCUGUGUUGUCACUCGAAUGUUAACAUGGAGGUAGCUAUCUACGUCAAUGUGAUUAUUAACCUCAACUUUAUACCUAAAGUGUGAGGUCUGAAAGACAUGCUGAGUAUCCAAAAAGUUCUCUCAGGAUAGAGAGAAAAGUGAGUGGAAGAUCAAGCGGCAGCAGGCGAAGGGCCCGGCGGGGAAGGGCUGAGGGAGUGUCUGAAGAAGAACCAAGCCUGCAGCUGGAAACAUCUAGAGGACAUGGCCAGGCCCAAGCAAGACAAGGGAACCAGGAAAGAUAGGAAACCCUAAGAAAUCAAUACUUAGUGACUUAAUUCUGGAGAAGUAGGAGAAGGCAAUCACACUGCACUGAAGAAGUGUGCGGGUGAGGGGCUGGGGAUUUAGCUCAGUGGUAGAGCGCUUACCUAGGAAGCCCAAGGCCCUGGGUUCGGUCCCCAGCUCCAAAAAAAAAGAACCAAAAAAAAAAAAGAAGUGUGCGGGUGAAUACAGAACAGACCAACGGCGUGGCCACGGGAGCACCGGCUGGCUGCCUUCUGUCAGACACUUGGUGCCUUCUGGUCUCUGCCACUGGUUUGAUUUUUUUUAAUAUGUCAUAAUUAAGUGUAUUGGGUAGAACCCUCAAGAGUUCCCUGCCCCAAGGUGGGUGUGACAUCAAAGCUGGGAAGAGGCCCCGAGGGCAGUGAAAACUGACUCUACCAACACCCUGAGUCAUCAAAGGUGUCCUCAGAACACAUGAUCUGGGAUACAGGUCAAUCCUGCCUGUCCUUCCUGAACCUUCAGGGGUAGAGGAACCACCUGAGAAGCUGAGCUCUGGUAGAACUUGGUCAGCACAGGGUGACAGCCUGAAGGCUCCCAGAGGCUGCCUCUCGCUGCAUGCUGUGACUCAGGUUCCCUGCACACCACUCAUCCCUUUCUUCAACCCCUUUCUGUUUGGUAGUGCUAGUAGGGCUCCUGUGUGCCAGCCAGGCCAGCACCACUGCAGGCCUCCCUGCCGGAGGUAACUUCUGAGAACCUGGUCAAAGCACCUUUCCCACUGUUAAGGAUUCACUUGUCACUUUCGACAGAGGCAGUAGUGGGGACUUCGUUUUGGCACAGGCUCGGGAAAGCACUGAAGGCUGCCAAUAAACAACUGUUGAAUGAGAAAA
rnacentral:sRNA from 1 species